rnacentral:lncRNA from 1 species
UCCGAGGCCGAGUCCGGCAAGAGGCUGGCGCAGGUGGUGGCGGAACCCAGCCUGACCAAGUCCGGCGUGUACUGGAGCUGGAACAAGGACUCGGCGUCGUUCGAGAACCAGCUCUCGCAGGAGGCCAGCGACCCCGAGAAGGCCCGCAAGGUCUGGGAGCUCAGCGAGAAGCUCGUCGGACUCGCCUGAUCUCCGGCCAGGUCCGGGCAAUGCAUGCAUCUAGGACUCCGAUGCCGAACUUGUCGCAUUAUUUAACGUUGGUAAUUAUCACUUUUACUCCUUUUUAGAAACUCAAUUACGCGGGAAAGGCCUUGCAGUGUCGGCGAGAGUGCAUAGAUCUCGUGUGGAAGAUGUACAAUUUUCGGCCAACCAUGAAUAAUAAAACCGCAGGCCUAAUUGAGGAUGACAUAUAUUGUGAUC